GAGGAAAUGAGUAAGAAAGAAAAGCAACAUGUAUAAAAUGUUGACUGUUUAUAAUUCUUCAGGUCCCCUGAACUGAAGAAAGAAAGAAGAGAACCAGACCUUUGGCCAACCCUACUGUCUCCCACACAGAGCAGAGGAGAGGGACCAGCAUCCUGGAGGACCAGGAGCAGAGGUUCUGCUGAGAAAUAUGGG